rnacentral:rRNA from 1 species
UACGUAGGGGGCUAGCGUUGUCCGGAUUUAUUGGGCGUAAAGCGCGUGUAGGCGGUCCGGUAAGUCCGCUGUGAAAGUCGAGGGCUCAACCCUCGAAUGCCGGUGGAUACUGUCGGGCUAGAGUGCGGAAGAGGCGAGUGGAAUUCCUGGUGUAGCGGUGAAAUGCGCAGAUAUCAGGAGGAACACCUAUUGCGAAGGCAGCUCGCUGGGACGUUACUGACGCUGAGACGCGAAAGCGUGGGGAGCAAACAGG